rnacentral:rRNA from 1 species
UUUCUAUUUGACCCUGGUAGAAAGUAGAAAUGUGAUUAGUAGAGCUACAUACGGAUAUUAUAUGAUUGAUUAAGUAUAAAUUAAAAAUUUUUAAUUAGUAGUAGUUAGGACUGUUAGUAUAAAGAGAUUUAAUGA